UACGGAGGGGGCUAGCGUUGUUCGGAAUUACUGGGCGUAAAGCGCGCGUAGGCGGACCUGCAAGUCGGGGGUGAAAGCCCGAGGCUCAACCUCGGAACUGCCUUCGAUACUGCGGGUCUCGAGUCCGGGAGAGGUGAGUGGAAUUCCUAGUGUGGAGGUGAAAUUCGUAGAUAUUAGGAAGAACACCAGUGGCGAAGGCGGCUCACUGGCCCGGUACUGACGCUGAGGCGCGAAAGCGUGGGGAGCAAACAGG
rnacentral:rRNA from 1 species